ACUCCUACGGGAGGCAGCAGUAGGGAAUUUUCCGCAAUGGACGAAAGUCUGACGGAGCAAUGCCGCGUGAGUGAUGAAGGUUUUCGAAUCGUAAAGCUCUGUUGUAAGGGAAAGAAUAGCAGUAGUAGGAAAUGACUACUGUGUGACGGAUACCUUAACCAGAAAGCCACGGCUAACUACGUGCCAGCAGCCGCGGUAAUACGUAGGUGGCAAGCGUUAUCCGGAAUUAUUGGGCGUAAAGCGCAUGUAGGCGGCUCUUUAAGUCUGAUGUGAAAG
rnacentral:rRNA from 1 species